GAUGAACGCUGGCGGCGUGCCUAAUACAUGCAAGUCGAGCGAACAGACGAGGAGCUUGCUCCCCUGACGUUAGCGGCGGACGGGUGAGUAACACGUGGAGAAACUACUUAUAAGACUGGGAUAACUUCGGGAAACCGGAGCUAAUACCGCAUAAUAUAUCGAAUCGCAUGGUUCAAUAGCGAAAGACGGUUUUGCUGUCACUUAUAGAUGGAUCCGCGCCGCAUUAGCUAGUUGGUAAGGUAACGGCUUACCAAGGCAACGAUGCGUAGCCGACCUGAGAGGGUGAUCGGCCACACUGGAAGUGAGACACGGUCCAGACUCCUGCGGGAGGCCGCAGUCGGGAAUCUUCCGCGAUGGGCGAGAGCCUGAUCCAGCAACACCGCGGAAGUGCUGAAGGACUUCGGAUCGUAAAACUCUGUUCUUAGGCAAGAACAACUGUGUAAGUAGCUAUGCACAUAUUGACGGUACCUAAACAAAAAGCCACGGCUAACUACGUG
rnacentral:rRNA from 1 species